AGCUAAAUCUACACUGCAGGUAGUGCCAGGUCAGCAGACAAGACACUUAAGACAAGGCCACUCUGCAAAUUUGGCUCUGACUGUUAUAGAAAGAAUCCCUGGCAUCUGGAAGAGUUUUAUCACCCACACCUGGAAGAUGGUAGAGGUGAAACUGCAGGAAACAGCAGUACAGAACCUACUGGAGGUAAAGCAGCUGAACCACCAAAAAAGAAACCAAGAGAAUCUUCACCAGAUAACACGGGCAAGAAAACUAUAAGCUUCAAGAAAUCCUUCCCAGCCCGUCUCUCUGCCAGCGCACCUUUCAAUCUAUUUCUUAACAAGAGCUACAGCAUAAAAGAGACUCAUGAAGAUUCAUUAUCUCUUGUUUUCCCAGAUCUCUUAAGCUCUCACUUUGGCGAGAUUGUUGAAUCAGUUCAGGUAUGUCCACUAAUGCUUGUAAGUGUUUGUGGUUUGAUUCUAACCAUCCAAGAGGCAGUCAAAUGAUGAAAACUGAGACACAUGUGCAACAUCUCGGUAUCUUUAUUGUAGACAUUUCACCAUCCAGCGGCUUUAUCAAUACAGAUUCUAGGACAUA